rnacentral:rRNA from 1 species
UAAUAUUACUUUCAAAUCCACUUUAUAAAGUAUGUUUAAAAACUUUAACCAUUUAAAUAAAUUUAUUGUAACCCACCUCUACUCACACAAGCUGCAUCUUGAUUUGACUUCAUUCUUAAUAAAGAACCUUGACCAUUAAAAUUUCUUAUAAAAAAAUCAACCACAACGAUAUACAAACCAAUUGAAAGUAAAGCUUAUCGUGGACUAUCAAUUACAGGGCAGGUUCCUCUGAAAAGACUAAAAUACCGCCAAAUUCUUUUGUUUUAAAGAACAUAUCUGAUACUAACCUGGUAAUAAAAUUUACACUCAAAAUAAUAU